rnacentral:rRNA from 1 species
CCUACGGGUUGCAGCAGUAGGGAAUCUUCCGCAAUGGACGAAAGUCUGACGGAGCAACGCCGCGUGAGUGAUGAAGGCUUUCGGGUCGUAAAACUCUGUUGUUAGGGAAGAACAAGUACGAGAGUAACUGCUCGUACCUUGACGGUACCUAACCAGAAAGCCACGGCUAACUACGUGCCAGCAGCCGCGGUAAUACGUAGGUGGCAAGCGUUAUCCGGAAUUAUUGGGCGUAGAGCGCGCGCAGGCGGUUUCUUAAGUCUGAUGUGAAAGCCCACGGCUCAACCGUGGAGGGUCAUUGGAAACUGGGGAACUUGAGUGCAGAAGAGAAAAGCGGAAUUCCACGUGUAGCGGUGAAAUGCGUAGAGAUGUGGAGGAACACCAGUGGCGAAGGCGGCUUUUUGGUCUGUAACUGACGCUGAGGCGCGAAAGCGUGGGGAGCAAACAGGAUUAGAUACCCCCGUAGUC